AUGUCUGAGUCUGUGUCUGAAGAGGCCAGAGGAGAGGAUGGCCGAGAUGACUUAUGGAGAUCUUGGCAACCCACAUGGCCUUCAGUGGAAAUCCAGGAUCAGGAGAUUUGGGUGUCAGUUUCUAAUGAAAUAUUCCAAAUCAACCUCAAGGCCAAACAUGUUCCAUCUGGAGAUGGAGCCAGGGAUGGAGACAUAUCAACCCAUCCAGGGAUAUUUCCCCGGCGUUCACUGAGUAUCACCGGGACCCAUCACAGUGUGGCAUGCCAAAGCAAGGUGGUUUGCGCACGUGAUUCCAUCAGAGAGAGGAGGAACACCCUGACAGGACUCCUUGCUCGUGGGCGGAACUCUGUCUAA
rnacentral:lncRNA from 12 species